UACGUAGGCAGCAAGCGUUUGUUCGGAGUUACUGGGCGUAAAGGGUGUGUAGGCGGUUGUUUAAGUUUGGUGUGAAAUCUCCCGGCUCAACUGGGAGGGUGCGCCGAAUACUGAAUGACUCGAGUGCGGGAGAGGUGAGUGGAAUUCCGGGUGUAGCGGUGGAAUGCGUAGAGAUCCGGAAGAACACCGGUGGCGAAGGCGGUCUGGCUGGGCAGUAGCUGACACUGAGGCGCGACAGCGUGGGGAGCAAACAGG
rnacentral:rRNA from 1 species